GCUUUCAACAACCCCGUCCACGGCAUGCGAAACAACGCGGCCGUCAGGACUGAAGGC
rnacentral:sRNA from 12 species